CGCUGGCGGCGUGCUUGAUACAUGCAAGUCAAGGAGAACAUUAUCUUCGGAUAAUAAGUAAACUGGCGAACGGGUGAGUAACGCGUAAACAACUUGCCUCAGAGAUUGGGACAACAUUGGGAAACCAGUGCUAAUACCAAAUAAUGCAGCGGGCUCUUCGGAGCACAGUUGUUAAAGUAGGCUUCGGCUUACACUUUGAGAUAGGUUUGCGUCCGAUUAGUUAGUUGGUAGGGUAAAAGCCUACCAAGACCAAGAUCGGUAGCUGGUCUGAGAGGAUGAUCAGCCACACUGGAAUUGAGAUACGGUCCAGACUCCUACGGGAGGCAGCAGUAAGGAAUUUUGCACAAUGGGCGAAAGCCUGAUGCAGCAACGCCGCGUGAACGAUGAAGUUUUUAGGAAUGUAAAGUUCUGUCGUAUGGGAAGAGAUCUUUCGAAUGUUAAUACCAUUCGUUAAUGACGGUACCAUACAAGAAAGCACCGGCUAACUUCGUGCCAGCAGCCGCGGUAAUACGAGGGGUGCUAGCGUUGUCCGGAUUUACUGGGCGUAAAGGGUACGUAGGCGU
rnacentral:rRNA from 1 species